UACGUAGGGGGCAAGCGUUGUCCGGAAUCAUUGGGCGUAAAGAGCGUGUAGGCGGCUCGGUAAGUCCGCUGUGAAAGUCCAGGGCUCAACCCUGGAAUGCCGGUGGAAACUGUCGAGCUAGAGUCCGGAAGAGGCGAGUGGAAUUCCUGGUGUAGCGGUGAAAUGCGCAGAUAUCAGGAGGAACACCAGUGGCGAAGGCGACUCUCUGGUCUGUAACUGACGCUGAGGCGCGAAAGCGUGGGGAGCAAACAGG
rnacentral:rRNA from 1 species